CCAAGGAGUCUAACAUGUGCGCGAGUCGUAGGGUUACGCUCAAAGCCCGAAGGCGCAAUGAAAGUGAAGGUCGGCCUCGAUUGCCGUUACCUAGGCGGGAUCCGUUCGGGCUUACCGGUCGUUCGCGGCUGAGCCCGGCGGCGCACCGCCGGCCCGUCUCGACCGCAUCGCCGGUGAGGCGGAGCGAGAGCGUACACGUUGGGACCCGAAAGAUGGUGAACUAUGCCCGGGCAGGACGAAGCCAGAGGAAACUCUGGUGGAGGUCCGUAGCGAUUCUGACGUGCAAAUCGAUCGUCGGACCUGGGUAUAGGGGCGAAAGACUAAUCGAACCAUCUAGUAGCUGGUUCCCUCCGAAGUUUCCCUCAGGAUAGCUGGUGCUCGAGGAGGGCAGUCUCAUCCGGUAAAGCGAAUGAUUAGAGGCCUUGGGGCCGAAACGACCUCAACCUAUUCUCAAACUUUCAAUGGGUGAGAAGUCCGGCUUGCUUGACUGAAGCCCGGACGUCGGAUGCGAGCGCCCAGUGGGCCACUUUUGGUAAGCAGA
rnacentral:rRNA from 1 species